UACGUAGGGGGCAAGCGUUGUCCGGAAUUACUGGGCGUAAAGGGCACGCAGGCGGUCCGGUCAGUCAGGAGUGAAAGUUUGCAGCUUAACUGUAAAAGUGCUUUUGAUACUGCCGGACUUGAGUCUCGGAGAGGUAAGCGGAAUUCCUAGUGUAGUAGUGAAAUGCGUAGAGAUUAGGAAGAACACCGGCGGCGAAGGCGGCUUACUGGACGAGUACUGACGCUCAGGUGCGAAAGCGUGGGGAG
rnacentral:rRNA from 1 species